rnacentral:rRNA from 1 species
AUCAGCUAGUUGGUGAGGUAAUGGCUCACCAAGGCUUCGACGGGUAGCUGGUCUGAGAGGAUGAUCAGCCACACUGGCACUGGAACACGGGCCAGACUCCUACGGGAGGCAGCAGUGAGGAAUUUUGCGCAAUGGGGGAAACCCUGACGCAGCAACGCCGCGUGGGUGAUGAAGGCCUUCGGGUCGUAAAGCCCUGUCGGGUGGGAAGAAAGCCUUGGGGACGAAUAGGACUCAAGGGGUGACGGUACCACCAGAGGAAGCACCGGCUAACUCCGUGCCAGCAGCCGCGGUAAUACGGAGGGUGCGAGCGUUAUUCGGAAUUACUGGGCGUAAAGCGCGUGCAGGCGGGAGGAUAGGUCUGAUGUGAAAGCCCGGGGCUCAACCCCGGAAGUGCAUUGGAAACCAUCUUUCUUGAGUGCUGGAGAGGAAGGGGGAAUUCCCGGUGUAGAGGUGAAAUUCGUAGAGAUCGGGAGGAAUAUCAGUGGCGAAGGCGCCCUUCUGGACGGCAACUGACGCUGAGACGCGAAAGCGUGGGGAGCAAACAGGAUUAGAUACCCUGGUAGUCCACGCUGU